rnacentral:rRNA from 1 species
UACAGAGGUGGCAAGCGUUGUUCGGAAUUACUGGGCGUAAAGGGCUCGUAGGCGGCCAACUAAGUCGGACGUGAAAUCCCUCAGCUUAACUGGGGAACUGCGUCGGAUACUGGAUGGCUUGAAUCCGGGAGAGGGAUGCGGAAUUCCUGGUGUAGCGGUGAAAUGCGCAGAUAUCAGGAGGAACACCGGUGGCGAAGGCGGAUCUCUGGGCCAUUACUGACGCUGAGGAGCGAAAGCGUGGGGAGCGAACAGG